rnacentral:rRNA from 1 species
UGACCGAGCAACGCCGCGUGGAGGACGACGGCCUUCGGGUUGUAAACUCCUUUUGCGGGGGACGACAUCGACUGUACCCCGCGAAUAAGGCUCGGCUAACUCUGUGCCAGCAGCCGCGGUAAGACAGAGGAGCCAAGCGUUGUCCGGAUUGACUGGGCGUAAAGCGCACGCAGGCGGUCGUGCACGUGGGGUGUGAAACCUGGCCGCUUAACGGCCAGACGCCACCGCAUACGGCGCGACUCGAGAGUGGCAGAGGUUCGUGGAAUUGCCGGUGUAGUGGUGAAAUGCGUAGAGAUCGGCAGGAACACCAAGGGCGAAAGCAGCGAACUGGGCCAUAUCUGACGCUCAGGUGCGAAAGCGUGGGGAGCGAACCGGAUUAGAUACCCGGGUAGUCCACGCCGUAAACGAUGGACACUCGGCAUCUGGCGGCCGAUUUUCGGCGGCCGGGUGCCCCAGCUAACGCGGUAAGUGUCCCGCCUGGGAA